UACGUAGGCAGCAAGCGUUGUUCGGAGUUACUGGGCGUAAAGGGUGCGUAGGCGGCUUUUUAAGUUUGGUGUGAAAUCUCCCGGCUCAACUGGGAGGGUGCGCCGAAUACUGAGAGGCUAGAGUGUGGGAGAGGAAAGUGGAAUUCCUGGUGUAGCGGUGAAAUGCGUAGAUAUCAGGAGGAACACCGGUGGCGAAGGCGGUGGUCUGGGCCGGCACUGACGCUGAGGAGCGAAAGCGUGGGUAGCAAACAGG
rnacentral:rRNA from 1 species